rnacentral:lncRNA from 1 species
CCUAAAACCCGCCAGACUUUCUAUAAGAAGUGUGGCAAGCACCAACCCCACAAAGUGACACUGUACACGAAGGAGAAGGAUUCUCUGUAUGCCCAGGGAAAGCGGCGUUAUGACAGGAAGCAGAGUGGCUAUCGUGGGCAAAUUAAGCCGAUUUUCCAGGAAAGGGCUAAAACUACAGAAAAUUGUGCCAAGGCUUGAGUGCGUUGAGCCCAGCUGCAGCUCUAAGAGAGUGCUGGCUAUUAAAAUAUGCUAGCAUUUUGAACUGGGAGGAGGUAAGAAGAGAAACGGCCAAGUGAUCCAG